rnacentral:rRNA from 1 species
AAAGAGGCAUUAUUUUCAUUCGAGGACGUGCCUUCCUCUUUGCCUCCUGCUGUCACUAACAUUUUGCAGGAGUUCGCUGACGUUUUUCCACAAGACGUGCCACCGGGAUUACCGCCUAUUCGAGGGAUUGAGCAUCAGAUCAACUUAAUUCCCGGUGCUUCACUGCCAAACCGUGCACCAUACCGUACCAAUCCAGAGGAGACGAAGGAGAUUAUGCGUCAAGUACAAGAGCUUCUCGACAAAGGUUAUAUACGCGAAUCCCUUAGUCCUUGUGCUGUUCCUAUUAUUCUAGUGCCGAAAAAGGAUGGAACAUCACGUAUGUGUGUUGAUUGUAGAGGCAUUAAUAAUAUUACUAUUCGUUAUCGUCAUCCUAUUCCUAGGCUAGAUGAUAUGCUUGAUGAAUUGAGUGGCUCUACAGUAUUCUCCAAAGUUGAUUUGCGUAGUGGCUACCAUCAAAUUCGAAUGAAAUUGGGAGAUGAAUGGAAAACAGCAUUUAAAACUAAGUUUGGAUUAUAUGAGUGGUUAGUCAUGCCUUUUGGGUUAACUAAUGCACCUAGUACUUUCAUGAGAUUAAUGAACGAAGUUUUACGUGCUUUCAUUGGACGAUUUGUGGUAGUUUACUUUGAUGACAUAUUGAUUUAUAGCAGAUCUUUGGAGGAACAUUUGGAACAUUUACGUGCUGUUUUUAUUGCUCUACGUGAUGCACGUUUGUUUGGUAACCUUGGGAAGUGCACCUUUUGCACCGACCGAGUAUCUUUUCUUGGCUAUGUUGUUACUCCACAGGGAAUUGAAGUUGAUAAAGCCAAGAUUGAAGCUAUUGAGAGUUGGCCGCAGCCCAAAACGGUCACACAAGUGAGGAGUUUUCUUGGCCUCGCUGGAUUCUAUAGGCGUUUUGUGAGAGAUUUCAGCACCAUUGCUGCACCUCUCAAUGAGCUUACAAAGAAAAAUGUGCCUUUUCUUUGGGGUACCGCACAGGAAGAAGCCUUCACGGUAUUGAAAGAUAAGUUGACACAUGCUCCUUUACUCCAACUUCCUGAUUUUAAUAAGACUUUUGAGCUUGAAUGUGAUGCUAGUGGAAUUGGAUUAGGGGGUGUGUUAUUACAAGAUGGCAAACCUGUUGCAUACUUUUCUGAAAAAUUGAGUGGGCCUAGUCUGAAUUAUUCUACUUAUGAUAAAGAAUUAUAUGCUCUUGUUCGGACUUUAGAAACAUGGCAACAUUAUUUAUGGCCCAAAGAAUUUGUUAUACAUUCUGAUCAUGAAUCAUUGAAACAUAUUAAAAGUCAAGCUAAACUGAAUCGUAGACAUGCUAAAUGGGUUGAAUUCAUUGAGACUUUCCCUUAUGUCAUUAAACACAAGAAGGGAAAAGAAAAUGUUAUUGCUGAUGCUUUGUCUCGUCGCUAUACUAUGCUUUCACAACUUGACUUUAAAAUAUUUGGUUUGGAGACCAUCAAAGAUCAAUAUGUGCAUGAUGCUGAUUUUAAAGAUGUAAUGCAUAAUUGUAAAGAAGGAAGAAUGUGGAACAAGUUUGUUGUUAACGAUGGAUUUGUGUUUCGUGCUAACAAGCUAUGCAUUCCAGCUAGCUCCGUUCGUCUUUUGUUGUUACAGGAGGCGCAUGGAGGAGGAUUAAUGGGACACUUUGGCGUGAAGAAGACGGAGGACGUACUUGCUACACAUUUCUUUUGGCCAAAGAUGAGACGGGAUGUUGAGCGUUUUAUUGCUCGUUGCACUACAUGUCAAAAAGCUAAGUCACGCCUCAAUCCUCAUGGUUUAUAUAUGCCUUUGCCUGUACCUAGUGUUCCUUGGGAGGAUAUAUCUAUGGACUUUGUUUUAGGUUUACCUCGAACAAAGAAGGGGAGGGAUAGCAUAUUUGUUGUCGUGGAUAGAUUCUCGAAAAUGGCACACUUUAUACCAUGUCAUAAAAGCGAUGAUGCUAUUAAUGUUGCUGAUUUAUUCUUUCGUGAAAUUAUUCGCUUGCAUGGUGUGCCAAAUACUAUUGUUUCAGAUCGUGAUACUAAAUUUCUUAGCCACUUUUGGAGAUGUUUAUGGGCUAAGUUGGGGACUAAACUGCUUUUUAGUACUACUUGUCACCCCCAAACUGAUGGACAAACUGAAGUAGUCAAUAGAACGUUGUCUACUAUGCUUAGGGCUGUUUUGAAGAAUAAUAAGAAAAUGUGGGAGGAAUGCUUGCCUCAUAUUGAAUUUGCUUAUAAUCGUUCAUUGCAUUCUACUACUAAGAUGUGCCCUUUUGAAGUUGUGUAUGGUUUCCUACCUCGUGCACCUAUUGAUUUGUUGCCUCUUCCAUCUUCGGAGAAGGUUAAUUUUGAUGCUAAACAACGUGCUGAAUUGAUUUUAAAAAUGCAUGAGUUAACUAAGGAAAACAUUGAGCGUAUGAAUGCUAAAUAUAAACUUGCUGGAGAUAAGGGUAGAAAACAUGUUGUGUUUGCACCUGGAGAUCUUGUUUGGUUACAUUUGCGUAAGGAUAGAUUUCCUGAUUUGCGCAAAUCAAAGCUGAUGCCACAUGCUGAUGGUCCCUUUAAGGUGUUAGAGAAAAUAAAUGAUAAUGCAUAUAAACUUGAGCUGCCUGCAGAUUUUGGGGUUAGUCCCACUUUUAACAUUGCAGAUUUGAAGGCUUAUUUGGGUGAGGAAGAU